AAAAAUACGUGAUCUGAUUUGAUAGGCUGCCCGCAAAAAGAGUUUACCGACCGCAUAACAAUUCAUUCUUGUGUGUAGCGCGUAGGGCCAUGUCUCCCGAACGAUCAUAGUACGGCCGCUCAUCUAAUAUCAAAUCAAUCGGUAGAUCUCACUUCCCUUCCCCAUACCAUAGCCGGAAGGGAUAGCGUAUCUACAGAAGAGAGAGUACGGGGCCUUGGCCUUACCCUUAAUUUAGUUUAGACGCGGCUCGAAUGCCUUUACGCUAUAGGCUAUGUUAAGCAUGCUUCUUUGACAGAAAACAAACUCUUUUUCCAUGACAACAGGCGCGACUAUAAAGGGCGGGGCGGUAAGCUCUCUAUCAACAACAGGGGGGGGCUGUUCUCCUUUGUCAACUCCUUGCUUGUGUCGUUGACAAAGUCAACCAAGCCUAACCAAAGCGUCACAACAACAUCCAAAGGUUGACAAAGUCAACGCUACUAAGGACCGGGGCGAGCGGAAUUCAGUAGAGGCUCGAGGAGGGGCUUACUAAGCGAAGGGCCGAAGGCGGCUUUGCUCAUGAGUUAGCGAUCAAGCGGAAAAAGACCCGCCGGCUUCUUUUCUUUUUUUUUUCAUUUAUCUUUUCCUUGAAACAUUUCCAGAAACUCGAGUCUUAUUUCUCGUGGAGCUUCCUCUCUAGGUUCUUCUUGCAGCCUUAUCCCUUUUCAAAAUUCUUCUUCCCUUAGGAUCGCCUUUGGAAACCGGAACGUAGGGGUCAUGAUGAUCCGGUGGGAGGGAUCUUCCUCACAAAGCCAGAUAAGAUAGUAUUAAUAGCAUUCAUUAUAGUGAUGGUAGGGGGAUGUUGGAAAUCAGACACUUCCUCGGCCCAGCAUGUUGAGACCGGAGCGUUAUUAGGGGGCGAAUUCUUAAAAACUCCCACGUUGGGGUUCUUAGGAGCUUUCUGUUCAUCCGCCACGUUGAUUUUUUCUUCUUCUAUGAAAUCUUGGAUUUUUUGCUUCAAAGUCUAGCUUGCAUCCGUCGCAUGACCCGGUCCCCCCUCAUCUCAUUGGGACCUAACAAAAAAAUUCUGCCAAUUCCUUUCCAGCCUUACAGGGGGUGGGGGUGGAGUGCGGUGGAGCGAUUAGUACAUGCUGACGUCCGAAAGUGCUUCGCUUUCUAUGGAGAUAAGAACAAGUAGAUCAUAAGCUAGUAUUGGAGUUACUGGCAGAACAGAUCGAUGAUCCUAUCUUCUUGGAUCCAAUUCAAAAAUUCCUAAUGAACCCUGGUGAAUCAGCUGACGGAAUAACCUUUCCAAACAACGGGAUUGGUCUCCCCCCUUACUCAACCUCUAUAAAAAAACCCUUUUCCCUUUUUAUAAUAAUAAGGUCAGCUUUCAAACCAAGCCUUCAUUUGCUUCUUUGGAAUGUGGUAUGGGUUUAUGACAUCGGGUAGCCAGCAAUCGAAGAAUGAGCCAACUGGGUUACUAUGUUGAUUUGCUCUUCUUCAUCGAGUUUGUUUCGCAUUUGGGCAGCGACAGCCCUCCACCUGCCUACGUAGGCACU
rnacentral:lncRNA from 1 species